rnacentral:lncRNA from 1 species
GUGGGUGUAGGGGUGCCUGAGGAGAAAGGGGUGCUGGUUCUUCCUUAUAUCCCCUGCCUGCCUCAGCUGGGCUCUGACCCAGCCAGCAGACUGGAGUCCUCUUCUGCAUGAUUCUACAAAGAUCCUAUAUUUGAUGUCAACAUCUUAACAAGCAUGGCUAAUGACGAUGUCUGGUGUAUUUAUUUAAAAGGUAAGGAAACUGAGGCUUAGAGGAGUUAUGAAACUGCCCAAGGUUUCACAGCUGAAAUGUAUAAGGACCUGGACUUGCAAAUUUGGCACAAAGUUCUUCUAAUAAGAGGCCAUAAAAUAACCAAAUGAUUUUUUAUGUGCCUGUAGAACCAAAAGAACUAUUUCAGAAUGUCAGCUGAAAAGCACGAUAUUCCAGAUAGCUUAGAAACCUUGGCAUAGUGCCUUCCUGGAAAUCCCGGAUUGCAUCUAAAACCAUGUGGCAGAGGGAGAAACAACAGACAGGCCAUCCUGAGAAGACUCAGGCUGGGACGAAAGCUCUGCUCUCCAGGGACAAAGCAGCAGGGGACCAGCCAUGCUCAGAAAUACUCCACUGGCCAGUGCACAUUUUUUUGAGCAAUUUCACUUGCUUCCACACCACCUGCCCCCCUAACGCUUCUAUUAAAGUGGCAAAUAAAUCUGAUACCCA